UCCCGCCUUCCCUCCGCGUGGGCGGAGGGAGGUCCUGCCACCCAAAGAAGAGUGCGUUUUCUUCCCCAGCAUCUCCUGCCUGCGGAGACAAAGCGAGGCGGGGAGCCCAGUGUGGUUGGAGUCACCCUGCAGACAGCCUAACGGCGGCGGCCACUCAGAGCCCAGAUCUCACUGACCAACGACCAGUUUCUUGGCCCAAGGCUGCAGGGCUUAGGCCAAGCCUCCGCCAGGCCCUCGCGGGUGGGCAUGGACGCCUUGGACCCGCGCGGAUCCGGUACCUGAGGUGACCAGUCCUGUGUGGAGACUGACGAAGACCUUAAUGGCACUGAAGGCACGCAUUUCGAAGAUGUCUGUCUUCAAUAAACACACUGCCAGCUACACAACUAGAUAAAAAAGCUGCGCUCCACCUCCCCCU